GGGCUCGUAGCUCAGCGGUAGAGUGCCCGACUUGCACUCGGGAGGCCCCGAGUCCGAAUCUCGGCGAGUCCA
rfam:Candidatus Altiarchaeum sp. CG2_30_32_3053 cg_3.0_sub100_scaffold_91_c, whole genome shotgun sequence.